CACGUAGGGUGCGAGCGUUGUCCGGAAUUAUUGGGCGUAAAGAGCUCGUAGGCGGUGUGUCGCGUCGGCCGUGAAAACCUGCAGCUUAACUGUGGGCGUGCGGUCGAUACGGGCAUCACUGGAGUUCGGCAGGGGAGACUGGAAUUCCUGGUGUAGCGGUGAAAUGCGCAGAUAUCAGGAGGAACACCGGUGGCGAAGGCGGUGCUCUGGGCCAGUACUGACGCUGAGGAGCGAAAGCGUGGGGAGCAAACAGG
rnacentral:rRNA from 1 species